rnacentral:rRNA from 1 species
GACGAACGCUGGCGGCGUGCUUAACACAUGCAAGUCGAACGGAAAGGCCCUGCUUUUGUGGGGUGCUCGAGUGGCGAACGGGUGAGUAACACGUGAGUAACCUGCCCUUGACUUUGGGAUAACUUCAGGAAACUGGGGCUAAUACCGGAUAGGAGCUCCUGCUGCAUGGUGGGGGUUGGAAAGUUUCGGCGGUUGGGGAUGGACUCGCGGCUUAUCAGCUUGUUGGUGGGGUAGUGGCUUACCAAGGCUUUGACGGGUAGCCGGCCUGAGAGGGUGACCGGCCACAAUGGGACUGAGAUACGGCCCAGACUCCUACGGGAGGCAGCAGUGGGGAAUAUUGCACAAUGGGCGGAAGCCUGAUGCAGCAACGCCGCGUGCGGGAUGACGGCCUUCGGGUUGUAAACCGCUUACGCCUGUGACGAAGCGUGAGUGACGGUAAUGGGUAAAGAAGCACCGGCUAACUACGUG